rnacentral:rRNA from 1 species
AUCCAUCACUCCUACGGGAGGCAGCAGUGGGAAUAUUGCACAAUGGGGAAACCCUGAUGCAGCCAUGCCGCGUGUGUGAAGAAGGCCUUCGGGUUGUAAAGCACUUUCAGCGAGGAGGAAGGUUAGUAGUUAAUACCUGCUAGCUGUGACGUUACUCGCAGAAGAAGCACCGGCUAACUCCGUGCCAGCAGCCGCGGUAAUACGGAGGGUGCGAGCGUUAAUCGGAAUUACUGGGCGUAAAGCGUGCGCAGGCGGUUUGUUAAGCGAGAUGUGAAAGCCCCGGGCUCAACCUGGGAACCGCAUUUCGAACUGGCAAACUAGAGUCUUGUAGAGGGGGGUAGAAUUCCAGGUGUAGCGGUGAAAUGCGUAGAGAUCUGGAGGAAUACCGGUGGCGAAGGCGGCCCCCUGGACAAAGACUGACGCUCAGGCACGAAAGCGUGGGGAGCAAACAGGAUUAGAUACCCUGGUAG